AUGGCUCUGGGAAUGUAGAAUACCAGUAAUAUUUCCAUAUUAAUUACAUUCAGAAUUGAAAUAAGGGUCUUGCUUUGCUACAUGUUGUAAAGACGGUUACUGCAUGACUGAGCUUAUGACUGAAGUAGCCAAGACAAAGGGAAGGAGAUGGAAACUGUUGUUUCUUCUUACAGGGGGAAGAUGACAAACAGAAAGGAUUUGGAAAGCAGCACAAAAAUCGUAGCAGGACACACGGCUCCCCUCUGAUCUAAGGGUUCAGAGAAGUGCCAGGUACUGUCAGUGCUUCUGAAUGCUUUCUGUAGUGAAGAUGUAUUUCAAAGGAGGCAACUAUUCCGAAAUAGUCAUGUGUAAUUACAGUUUCUAUAUACUGCAAACUUAAUGUAUGUAACCGCCACUUCUGGAAUGUAGAGUCCUGUAUUGGCACCUUUACUGCACAGCAGAUGAGGGUGUUGAUCAUCUGUCCUCGUUAACAGCUGCCUGCCCGCUCCCGGAACGCUGCAGGUAACUGGGAUAGAUGUCAUGACAGCAAGAUGGUCCUUUGGAUGUCAGCUGAUAAAAACAGCUACGUGAGGCUUCGCAAAACAAUCGGGAUUGAAACUCCCCCGCCCACAUGUGCCUCUAUUUUCUACAUUGACGUGUUUUCCUGCUUUGGGGCGAGGCUACUGCUUCUUCAUUAGUAUUGUGCCUGGAAAAAAAAGUAUUACACGUGUAAUCGUUUUUUCAAGUUAUAAGUGGAGGCCAAUAAAUACACCCAGCCCAGAGCAAUGCAAAGCACGUGGCCUGGGCUAGAUGAAUAA